GCGUCAGUAGUGCAACGGGUUAGAGCGCGCUCUCCCGAAUAGAACGAGAUGCGAGUUCGAGUCCCGCCUGACGCA